rnacentral:lncRNA from 1 species
AUCAUACCCACAAGGACGAUGUGGAAGACAAGCUGGUGGUACAAAAUGUCCUACUGGAGCAUGUUGUAGUAUAUCUGGUUGGUGUGGAACCACAUCAGACUAUUGUACUCCUAGAAAGUGUCAAAGUCAAUGUGUUUUUCCACCCCCACCAUCAUAUCCAGAAGGACGAUGCGGAGAACAAACUUCUUUUAAAAGAUCAUGUCCUUCUGGACAGUGUUGCAGUAUAGCUGGUUGGUGUGGAAGCACAGGAGCCUAUUGUAAUCCUGGUUGGUGUCAAAGUCAGUGCAAAACUAUAACCUCGCCCACCAAGAAUCGCAUGAGAGGCAUUGAAAGCUUCCUGCUCAAUGCUCUCUAGAUGCUUGCUACCUUCUAUAUUCCCUAGAGGAUGUACUUUUACUCCUCUUUUGGGACUGGUUUAUGUGUUUGAUUAUUAACGUGUGUAUUAUUAAUGCAUAUUCCUCAGAACUCACUUGUGAGAUUUUACUGGGUAUGUUUUUACUAUAAUUAUAAUGCAUAUCUAAUGCAUUACUUAUCAAUAAAACAAAUAAAGGACUUUUGUGUAAAUUAAAAAUAGCAAAUGAAGGUCUGUUGUAUGAGUUCUUUUCCCUCAUUUUUCAUCUAUAUUUAUUCAUCAUAUAUAUAGUUGGAAAAGGAUGAUAGAAGAAAAUCUCAACUGAUUUACAUAAUACAUUAAAGAAGAUACUUUUCUUUUUCAUCAAACAUAUCAUCACUCCGGGCCAGUAUCCCACUGUUUAAUUAAAUUGGACCUUCUACAUUUUCAUCGAGAAUCAAACUUUUGUAUUACAAUGGGAACAACAACAAUAAUUAACUUCAUCUUCCUCUCUUCCUCUUCGGCUCUUCAUGUUCAUCACCAACACUAUGAAUUUCUAUCAAAAUACUUGACAUUUCAUCCUAUUACUGCAUGUUUGUCUGUUUCUUUAUAGAAAAUAUUAGCAGCCAUCGUAAUAAAACUCAAAAAAUUAUCAUCAUUCGGAAGAUUCCCAGAGACUAUGACUACGAAAUUUGAUCCAAAUUGUAAUUUAUAUGUUAUGUUUAGCAAAUCAGAAAAAAACUUUCUACCUUCACGAGAUUGGGAUAAGGCUGCAUAUAUAUUAUCUUCUCUAGACUCCACUUAUAGAAUUACACUGGAUAUAUUAUUUUUAUUGUAAAUAAGGGAGGAAUUUGUAUGUUUAGUAAUAUAGGGUCUAAUUAUUUAGUGUUGGUGUUAUUAUGCAUUUUAAUAUUAAAAUCUUAAUUUGCAUGAUAACUUAUGGACAUAAAGUGGAGAAAGUGGUGUCAUUAUAUUGAUAACUCUUGUAACUUCUAACACUUUAUUUGUGCAUAAACAACCACAUUAUGUCUUGUAAUUCAUAUGACCAUUGGUUGUUGUAACUUCAUGGUCAUUAGUUCCAUGUAACAUAUGUAACAACAAGACUAUUUAUCUACCCACAUUACUCUAAUUGUUAAUGCAUGGUGGUAGAAUGUGGCCUUUAGUAAUUUGUAACUGCUCUCAUUAUUUUGCUGUAACUCUCAUGGCUAUUAGUGCCAUUAGUUUCUUGUAACUCUUGUAACUAAAGACUAUUGAUCUUUCCUCUUUAAAACCCUUCUUUGUUCUUCCUAUUCAAUACAAGGAUGAAUACCUCAUCUAUAAAUAGUGGAGGUAGUCUUGCAUGUUAUUGCAUGAACAAGGAAACAUGAUAAAUGUGAAAAAGAUUAUAGUGUGUAGAAGUGAAAGAGAGAGUUGAGACAAGAAAAAUAUUCUAAGUCUACAACUAUAUUCACUAUACAAAACAGAGUAAUUAUAUUAAAGAAAGAAAGAGUUGAGACAAAGACAAUAUUCUAAGUUUUUAACUAUAUUCACCAUACAAAGAGAGUAAAUAUAUGUUGAAGGAAGGUGUUCUUAUGGUGGAGCUUUGGACUCUUCAACUAAGUCGGGGUUGUUUGAGUUAUACAUCGUUGAUGGGGUAGCUGUUGUAUCCUGGAGGGGACAAGUCAUGAGAUAUACUGCUGGAUCAAUGUAGAUUAUGUCGCAGUGGGCUUGAAUCUCCUUAAAGAGAGCAAAAUAUCCGUGCCUCAUCGAAGAAGAAGAUUAUUUUAUUUUCUUCACUUUUACUCAUUUUAUUUUUUAACUGUAAUCAUUUACUGCAAUUUUUUGUAUAUUAAACCAACAUUUAGUUAUAGGAUGAUUUUCUGUUAAAAACAUUGAAAUUGACAUUUAAUCAAAAACAUCUAGCUAGAAUAACUAGUUUUCUAGUUUAUGCGAAAAUUUAAUCGAUUCCUCUCUUGAUGUUGGUUGAAAAUAGUUUUUGUAAAAAUAUAAUUUUCUUUAUUUCAAUCAAACACUAAAGAAGCAAAAGUGUAUUUGAUUGCUAUGAAAAAUCAAAAACCAACAACAAAAGAAAAAAGAUUUAAAAAAGUAAAUGCUCAGUCACUAGGAGGAAGGAGAAUGUUUAGCAUUUCCAAGAUCACAAGUUUUUUAUUUUUAAAAAAAGAUUAUAAAUUUUGUAUCCAAUUAAAUAAAUAGGAUCACAUUACAUGAAAUUAGUUAUGGAAUUUAUCGGAAAUAUCUAGCUAAUCCGUUGCUAGAAAACUACCUAGCUAAUUGAACAUUUUUAUAAUCAACCUCUAAUUUGUAGCUAAAUAGAACUAGCAUGAAAUAUUAUUUUCAGUUUAAGUUAUCUAUAUUGUAAAUGUGAUUUAUUUUAACAUUAUCUUUAGUUAUUUUUUUUAUUUAAUCAAAUAUCAACCAUUAUCUUUUAAUUAUGGCAUAUAUCUUUUAUCCACACAAAAACUUUGAGGAAAAUAGAGAGUAACCCUAAUAUGCAUGUCACAAUCAAUCAUGUUAAAAUAAAAGGACGAUUUCUAAUUGCUAUCAUUAGCAUUUGGCAGGCUGCUCUUAUUAACAUCCAUCCUUCGUUGCCUACUAGAUUCAAGUGGACCAUUAGUUGAUUGCUAGUUUUAUUAUAAAUGGCGAUGACACAACCGUACAUUCGUCUUAUUGCUAGCCUUAUUAUAUAUGAAAAUAACGGCCACGGAUUUCUUCACUUUCUGUGUCUUUUUCGUACAACUAUUUUUUUUGUUUUUGUUUCUUUGCUAUGAUGAGUAGUAAUUGAAAAAAAUGUAACAAAAAAACAAAGAAGAAAAAGAAGAAGGAGGAGGAGGUGGAGGAGGGAGAAAUAUAACUUGAUUUUAGACUUUUGUCUUUUUUUGCUUCACAAAUUCUUUGGGCAUAAUGAAUUACAUUUCAUGUUAGGCCAUAUGAUUUUUAUUCGUCUAUGCGCUAAUCCAAUCUCUUUUGAUUUCAUCUUUCAUCAUCUUAUAAAAUAUCUCACUUAUUCACUAAAUACUAAUGUAUAUUUGAUACAAUUUUCUAGAUAUCUCCCACAUUUUGAUGUACAUUUUCACUUUUCUUUACUAUCUAAUUUAUUAUUAAGGAAAUAAUGUACUGUGAUUGAGAGUUUCAAUUCAAUGAUAAGAUUAUAAUAGUCUCGUUCUUCAUACAGUGUAAAUUUACAAUAAAUGAAGUACACCAUAACAACAUGCAUGUAUUUUCUUUUCGGAAAAGACAUCAUUCCCACCCCAUACUAUACAAGAAAAGUUUAAGCCACACCUAAAUUGUAUAAGUGACCUAUUACACACCUUAACUAUAUAAAAGUGAUAUUAUUACCUCUCCGCGACCCCCAUUCUAAGGCGCGUGUGUUACACUUAUUUUAGGCGCGUCCAGCCUAUUAAAUAACAAAAGUAAACGGCUAAAAACAUUAAGGGAAAAGGCAUCGUUUCCACCCCAAACUAUAGUCGAAAAGUCGAAUCAACACCUAAACUAUAUAAGUGACCUAUUACACACCUUAACUAUAAACAAGUGAUACUUUUUACUGACGUGGCAGCGCGUGUAAAACACUACACCACAUGCAAGUGGUGGUAGCCUGACAGGGUGUAAAUAGUUUCACUUUUUUAUAGUUUAGGUGUGUAAUAGGUCACUAGUAUAGUUUAGAUGUGGCUUCGACUUUUCGGGUAUAGUUUGGGGUGGAAACGAUGCAUUUUCCCUUUUAUAUUCUGUAAACAUAACAAAUAAGAAUAAAAAUCUAGAAAAAAAAAAAACCAACGAUGUUGGUCACAUCAGCUUCCUCGUUCCAAGAAUUAUGGGAGUUUUAUAUAUUUUUUUAACCUUGUUGUUUUAUGUGGAGUCUACGAGGUACGAGGAUUAUGGUUUUGAUGAUCGACACUUGACCAGGUUCAUGUUAAUUGUGAAUCAAGUUCUUGAUUAUUGUUGGACUGGUCAAUUUAGUUAUGUGACAUGUAAUAAAUACUUGUUUAAAUAAAAAAUUCAUAAUUAAUGUAUUGAAAAGAAGCAGGAAUUCUAAGUCAUUUUUUAAAAAAAUUAUGGUAAGCCAGUGUAUUCUAGCAGUUUUUUUUAAUAAAAACUGAUUUGCACAAGGAAAAGUAAGUUGUUAAGGGAGGCAAACAACCAAUACAUACCCAACAAUGUAAUCAAUUUGGCAACGCCUUUUUGCACAUCCACAUAUCUAGGCAAUCACAAAAACAAGAAGGAGCAAGACAAAGAAAAUCAACAAGCUAAAGCAAGAACGAGCAAGACAGAGAAAAUCAACAAGCUGAAUAAUAUCAAGCUAUUAUCCGGUGGUAGUUUGGUGUCGAUUUUAGUUUUGCCUUAGAAGUUUUUUAUUGAAUUCUAAUAGCUUCAGUUCUGUGUUAGAACUUAGAAGUAAAGUGUUUGUGAGGCGUUGUAACAAGAAGCAAGUUUGACUUCUUAAGGCUCAUUUGUUUGCACUUAAUGGAGGUCUGAAUCUGAAUAGUUCAGACUUCAGACCAUUAAAUGCAUUUGUUUUUUUAUUAAGAUUUUAACUCUUAAUAGGUCUGAAUGGUCCUAAUCAUUCAGAUAUAGAAUCAAGUCUUAAUAGGUCUGAAGAGUUAUUCUGGUGUUGGAUAAUUUUCAACGUCACUCUAUUCAUAAUCAUCAGUCACCACCUCUGCCAUUGUCAUCAUUGUCAACUACCACCCACUACCACCAACCACCUUCACCAUCACAACUACCAUCGACAGCAAAUAUUGCUACCAACCACUAUUGUCAACCGCUACCACACCUACUACCUCUAUUAUUCUAAUUAUAUUUAACGCUACCACCAUCAUCAACAGCACUCCCAUCAUCAACCACUACCGGUCAAUCCCUACUAUCGACCAACUCAUUUAUCACAACUAGUACCACCGCUAACUACCACUAAUAUAUCACAACCUCCACACAUUCUUCGGCGGCCACCACUAUUGUCACUAGUAAUGUCACCUCUAUCAUCACUCCAAUCACUAUCAUCGCUAUACUUUAUCUCUACUAACAACCAUCUCUACCAUCACAACUAACAAUAUCUUCAACUAGAACCAACACAUUGUCAACCAUUAUUCAUUCAUUUUUCAGCCAUCAUAAUCAAAACUUUCAACUACUAACAUCAAGCAACGUCACAUCACAACUGUCACACCCCUUUUUCAACCAAAAAGUUUUUGAGUUUAAGGUUAAAAAGGGUUUUAUUAAACCAACGCGUCAAAAGAUGAAAAUUUGUUUCGAAAAAAGGUUAUUUUUACAUUCAAAUUCAGAGUCACCACUUGGCAUAAUCUGGUGUGCCAAGUCACCUUUGAAAAAUUCUUUUUAAAACGAUUUUUGACUCUUUCAAAACUGAUUUACGAACAGAGAUUCCGGCUAAGGAAUUCUGUUGACCAAGGGGAAGGUGUUAGGAACCCCUCGGUCCCGUGGUUCGACCACGGUCGCUUGGUGGAGAAUAUCAGAUAAUUUGACACUACGAAUGUAUAAACCACACAAAGCACGCAGAACAAUCAAUCAAGCAAACAAAACAAAAACAAUCCAAAAUUUAGUGCUCAGUCCAAUUAUACAGUUUCGAAAUAGAAAAAUGUAGAAAUAUAAACCUACACUAUUCUAGGCUAAUCUUAAACUAUGGUCCAUUGCUUUCUACACCCAACGUUCCGGGCCUUGAUCGUGCGUCGUCUUCAAGUACAUGAUACUUCGGGGCAUCCCUAGUGAAUAAAUACGAUUCCUUCGGAGCAUUCCCCGGUAAAUGAAUACAAUAUCAAUUUCAUGAGAUAAACUAGAAAACAUCUGACACAUUUAACAUUCCACGCAUUCAAUCCAACAUCAAUCCUAAGUUUUACCUACUCGAAUCUAUAUUUGCCUAUCCAUUUCAACAUAUCAUAAAUCUAUCACGUUCCGAUAAUAUUCAUGCUUAUUCCGGAUUAAAAAAAACAAUGAUCAACCAAAAUUGAUCUAUAUUUGCCCAUUUUCAUUAAUUUCUUAAUUCCACCCCACGAAUUCCAAUUCCUCAAUCACUCUAUCCACAUGAACCAAAUCAAUCAACAUCAACCACGGUAAUCAAAGUUACUUGAACCAAUAUCAAAUCACGUCACCACAUCACAACAACAGCCACAUCGACGUAAGAAAAGAGAUAAGGCUAAGGGAUGGACCUUUGAAAGAUUUGAUUCCGUUGAUAAUAAUGUUUAAGAAAAUCCGGACGUAGAAUUCCGAAUAGAACCUUAGCAGCGACGAACUCCAACUCUAUAUCAAGGUAUUUGAAACCCCAAAACUGACCUCAAUAGACUGAUCGACACGAAAGGAAAACUAGAUACCCAAACUAGGAACGAAAACUGAGAAACCCGAAACCCGACUUUGAAUAUGAAUCAACUAAGAUGAACCUGAAGCUCCGAAAGUCCCAUCGAACCUACAAACCUACAGAAAUCGAGUUCGAUGAGCUGACAAUGAGCAAAACUACUAAAACGAUCAGAUUCCAGCAAUAUCGCGUUUAGAAAUUAAAGGAAAAUAAAGGGAAUUUGGCGAUUAGGAGACUAAUUCGAACGACGAUCGGUUGAAACUGAUUUCGGCCCGAAGUCAUCGAAAAUUACGUGUCUACAACAACCACCACCAUCACUAUCAACCGUCACCAUCAUAACGGUCACUACAAUACCAACCAUCACAACUAUCACCACUAACAUCCAUUAUUGUCACCGCAACCACUAUUAUAAAGCAUAUCUGCUAUCACUAAAAAACAUAAAUAUUUUUUUAUUCAAUUAAAUAAUAAUUUUGUUGUAUUAAAUUACAUAUUUUUCUGAUAUCUAAUUAAUUUUUUAUUUGAAUUGUAUUUUUUAUUUUAUUAUAUAUAGAAAUAAUUUUUUUUGUACAUUCAGAUAUUGAAAAACAAACAAUCUUAAUCAUUCAGUUUUCAGAUCUAGAGACAAUAUCUUAAUCAUUCAGACGUGCAUUCAGAUUCAAACGUCAGAAUCUUAGAAAAAACAAAUGCAGCCUUAGAGUGGUUAAGUAGUGUACAGAACAGUUAGAGUUAAUUGUUGAGGUAAAGUACUAGAUUGAAUCCCUUAGACUGUAGAGUUGUAAUUUGAAAUGUUGAUGGUGUGAAGAUAGUGGAGAUUGGUGUUGAAAUCUCCUAGCAUAUUGUUCGUGUUUAGUUUGUUUUUACUAUUUACUACAUUUUUCUGAACCAGGUUUCUAAUACAUGUGGUGGAGUUAGCUGUUUUAUCAUUUUAAGCCUUCAGUUUCAAUUUUUUUGUCUAAAUUUGACUCAAGCUUAUGAAAUUAAAGAAGAUGGUUGAAUCUUGUAAUCUUAGACUAAAGAUACGUUGAACGUAUGAUAAUGAACUUUAAUUUUAUGAUCUUAAGCAUGUCACGAGAAAAGUUAAAAUUAAAGAGUUGCCAAAAAAGAAAAGAGACAUUCUUUUUUAAACAAAUUACGAAGAAAAACAAGAGAAACAAAUUGACAAGUAGGAACAAUAUAUUAAGUUUAAACAAUUCUGUUCCUUUUACUUGAGCUUACUCGUACCACUUCGUAAAGAGGGAUUUUUUUUUUUUUGGGCAAAUUUGGGACCACUCGGAUAUUAUCCGAAGUGAAAGAACCUCAAAAAACAAUAAGUACAAGUAAGAGGGGUCAAAUCUUACCAUAAAAAUCUUAAUGAAAUCAAAUCCUCUACUAAUACUAUCAAGCUAUGUAAGAAAUAAGAAUUUGAAAGAACCAAAUAUUUAAUGAUCAUUACAAGUAUUUAUAACACACUUUAUAAUAAUAUUACAAAUAAAGAUAUUAACAGGAGAGAUAAACGUAGUUAUUGGAGUGUAAAUUUUGUGUUUAACUAAUGUGUGAGUGUAGACACAUAAUUUUGUCCCCCUCAAAAGUUCGUUUUUAUUCAUUUCUACCUUAUCAUAUCAUGUACUCUCCCCACGUGAUUACACCCCACAAAUAAUACAAAAAAAAAAAAAAAUAACUCUCAACAAAAUCCCUAACAAACUUUUAUUCUUUUAACACCCUAACAACCCUCUCCAAUAAAAAAGUGACAAAUCACCACCUCACCACCCCAUACCCUACCCUUUACCCCUACCCCACGUCCUCCCCCCUCUUUUUUUCUUGUCCAAGAAGAAAGGACUCAAAAACCAAAAAUACAAUAUAUAUAUAUUAACCACUCGCAUUUAAGCAAAUAAUCUUAUUUCUUUUGAAUACUCUCCAAGAGUUUCAACGAUUUUCAAACCAUCAAUUUAUCCCUCAUAAGGAUAAUAAAUAAGUUUUCCAAAAACUUUAUAUGCUUCAGGCAUUUUGAAUCCUUUAGGGAUUUUCAUAUGGAUUUUUGUAAAGUGACAAUACCAAUAUGUGUGACAUCUUCAAGUGUCUGGACUGCAAAUCAAAUAAGUUUUAUGCUUACCAAGAUGCAUCCUUUCACGUCACUUGAUAAAUUUUUCUACGUCAACAUACUUAAAUUAACGUAGAAUUCAGAUCUUCAUAAUCUUUUUACAAUAUUGCGCCAAUAUUGUAUCAUAGAUAUCGUCGAUGAUUUCUUAUUUUGUAACGAUUCACAAUGCGACAUAACAUUUUGAGAUCUCAUCACUUCAUUAUUUUCAGGUACCUAAACCUCUCAUAAGGUUUCAUGAAGUGUUAUGUCGUAGGCUCUUCAAGAGCUUAUUGCCUUCUUAUUAUGAUUAUUUGCUCCUUAUUUUUCAAGGACUAUUUCAUUUAGAACCGAUUAGUCCACCACGCUUCACGCAUGCAUAGACUUUGUCCUUUAGGAACACAAAAUAAGAGCACUUGCGCUUAAUAUGAGAUGCUUUCGGCAUUUGACUUGAAUUAUCUUUUGGAUGAGGAUCUGGUGAUAAUUCCUAACAUAUUUCAUAGCGCUUAUAAUCUCCCCCUUAUGUUAGAAAAAGUAGCAUACAUCCUCUAUUUCUUUGAGGAAUCCAUCAUUGUGCAUUAUUGUAUAUUCAUUAAUCGUAUAUCGCACAUCAAAAUUAUUAGAUAGAAUAAUUGGUUCAUGACCUUGAACCAUAUAAGGGGAAGAAAUAAUCAUAAUUUAUUAAUCUAAUGCAUACAAGUGUUAUUGUAUGCAACAUGUCAUAUUUCAGAUCAACACAUGAAGCUUUGUUCUCAUUAGCGAUGGUUUAGCUAUUUAUCGAAGGCAUUCAAUGCCAAAUCAUCAUCAUCAAGAUAACUUUCGUGUUGCACAAUCUGAAAAUUAUGUUCUUAACUCAAUUUUGUUGAGCAAGCAACUUUAUGAAUGUCAAACUGCAGGUUGACAAUGAAAGUAUAUGUGAUCAUCUUAUUGAUGCAUCAUUUUAACAUAUCACAUGAUAGAUGAACGAGCCCUUAUUCACCUUUUAUUCAGAUUUGAAGGUCCAAUCCCAAUAUUAGUUGGUCCAACCAACUUAUCAUGAGAACAAAUUAAACGACAUAAACAAUCCUUGAAGAAUCUUGUAGUUCUUCAAUACAUGCAAAUUUUCGAGAUGUCACAACUUUUAUUCUAGUAAACUCCAAGUUUACCAUGACAUGUACUUUUUCUUUAGUAAAUUUCAGAUUUACUAUUACAUGAAUAAAUUUUAGAUUUACUACUUCAGAAGUAGAUUUCAAAAUUAUUCAACCUCUUUCGGAGGUGAGUUGUGAUACAAUCANNNNNNNNNNNNNNNNNNNNNNNNNNNNNNNNNNNNNNNNNNNNNNNNNNNNNNNNNNNNNNNNNNNNNNNNNNNNNNNNNNNNAUAACCUCUUUCAAGAUUUUGCUACUUCAGAAGCAAAUCGAGGCAUACAUAUGAUGUAGAGAAUUUUUCUCUAGCAUAUCUUAUAAUCAUAUAAGCGUGUGAAAAUAUCAUCACUUUUGAUGAUCAUUAUUAUAUUCGUGCAUUCAAUCACUUGUCUUUUUUCAGACAUAUUAUGCAUUGCUACCACAUACACUUCAUGGAAUGGAGCAUAUUCAAUGGGUCAAAUUUCAUGACUUUUCACCCAAUACCCAUUAUUUUUCCUUAGCCAUCACAAUAUCAUCAAUUUGGUGUAUCGAGAUUCAAACUCAAUAUUUUAUCCAUAUAAAGGCGUCUUAGGCAUAAAUCGAUGGGACUUGAACUCAAAUAUUAUCGUCCCUUUUGAUAAUAUUGUUCUUGAAGAAUGAAUUUUAAACAUAAAUGGUUUCAAACCAAUUAUUUUUCCUCAAAUCCAACAAUAAUUAUAUCAUUAAUAGAAAAAUACAAAUAACAUAAGGAAUUACUAACCUUGACCUUUAGAUUUAUAAUCUCACCUUAUUUGGCAGAAUCUCGUGUUGAUAAUGUGUUAUAAAAUAAUAAAGAAUAAAGAAGAAGAGUAGAGAGAAUAGAGAGAGUGAUUCUUAUUUCUUCUCUUGAGGGAUUCUUGAGGGGUCAUCAGAUUAUAAAUACAAUGAAUAAAACCUCUCUAUUUAUGGGAGAAAUUUACUCCUAGUCUAAGUAAAAGAAGAAUGCUUCAAAUCCUAAUAGAUAUCAACAUAGAUCUUGAUAGAUAUGUGUCUCACCCCCUUUUUUUAAACUCCAAAAAGAUUAUUUAAGGUUCGAAAGUGUUUUUAUUAUUAAAGUGAUAAAAGGAAGAUAGUUUGUUUCUAAAGGGACCUUUUACAUUCAAAACUCAGAGUCGCCACUUGGCAUAAUCUGGUGUGCCAAGUCACCAUUGGAAAGUCCUUUUCAAAACCAUUUGACUCUUUAAAUUAGUUUGUGAACAGAGAUUCCGGCUAAGGAAUUCUGUUGACCGAAGGGAAGGUGUUAGGCACCCCUCGAUCUCGUGGUUCGACCACGGUCGCUUGGUGAAGUAUAUCGGCUAAUUUGAACACUAUGAAUCAAUAAACCACACGAAACACAAAUAAAACGAUCAAUCAAACAAAUAGAUCCAAAACAAUGUCCAGUCCAAUUAUACAGUCCAAAAAUAGAAAAAAGAAUGCGAAAAUGUAAAUCCUAUUCUACCCUACACUAAUUUUAUACUACGCUCCCAUGCUACCCGAUGCCUCGGGCCUUCAUCAUGGACGUCCUCCAAAUACAAAAUACUUCGGGGCAUUCCUCGGCGAAUAAAUACAAGUGAUCGCGGGACAUUCUCCGAUUAAAUGAAUACAUUUCCAAAUGCAAGAACUAAAACCAAACUGUUCAACUCAAAUUUCACAUUCAAACAUUCAACAAGAAAACUUAUUCCUAAAUUUUUUGCCUACCCGAAACAACAUUCUCCUAUCUAUUUCAACAUAUCAUAAUUUUAUCACAUUCCAACAAUAUUCAUGCUCAUUACGAAUUAAACAAAACAACAAUAAACCAAAGCUAAUCUAAAUUCAACUUUUUUAUCAAUUUAUCAAUUCCAUCCCCCAAAUCCAUUUUCAACCACAUUACUAAACCAGUUCGACUAUCAAAUCUUUUCAAAAUUCAAAACCAACAACACAUACCCCAACGAAGAUUCAAACAUUUAAGCAUUCCAAUCAUUCAUAUCCGCAAUAACAAUUAACAUUUUUGCUCGAAAUAUUCAAAACCACACUACAAAAUCACGAUAUUAACCAACUUCGAUAUAAUAAAAAAGUAGAGUUGAGAAAUGGACCUUUGAAGAAUCGAUUUCGUUAAUAAUAAAAUCAAGAAAGCCCGGACUAUAGAAUUCCUAGUAGGACCUCAACAAUGACGAACUCCAACUCCGUAUUGAAAAAUUUAAGACCCAAAACGGAAGCUCCGUAAAUCUAAUCGAACUCAAAAACCAACACUGUUCACGUACUGUUCACAACACUGUUCACGGUACUAUUCAUAACACUGUUCACAGCACUGUUCAUGGCACUAUUCACGAUACUAUUUCUUUCUGAAUUUUUUUUCUCUCGCGCGAUUCUCUCUUCUCCCCCUCUGUUUUUUUAUUCUUCUUGUGAGGAAGAUGAUUUGGUGAUGUUGUUAUUGUGGAGAAGAUGAUGAUGAAAGAAUGAGCCUCCCUUUUCCCCUUUUAGAAUUUUCCUUUUAUAUAUUUUUUAUUUGGUUUUUCUUUUUCUUUAUUUAUUAUCAUAUGUGGAAGCAUAUAAUUGGUGGCUUGUGGGAAUAAGUGUGUGGCAUGUGGAAAAGUUAGUGUGGCAUGUGGAAAGAUGAGAGUGGUGUGUGGAAAAAUGAGUAGGGCGUGUACCUUUUGCAUGUAUACAAUGAAAAAUGAAAAGUGAGGUGUUGAGGUGGCAUAGUGAGGUGACAAAGAUGCUAUGUAUUUAAUUAUUUUCAAUUCUUUUUUUUUUGGAGAAAUUAUCAAUUAAAAAAAAGUAUGAUAAGGUGAAUAAUAUAAAAAUAAAAAAAUUAAAAUUAAAAUUAAAAUAAAUAAAAUAAAAUAAAAAUAAUUAAAAUAUUUUUGGGUUAGGACAAAAUUACGUGUCUACAUCAUGCCCCCUUUGAUGUAACACAUGGUGUUUUCAUACAAAGCAGUAGACAACGUGACAGAAUUUUGUCCUGACCUUUAUUCAAAAGCACGGAGCACGAGAAAGGAGGAAAACCAAGUUUUUACUUAGGAUAUCCUACCUACCCAAGUUAUGAGGGAAUCAACAGUUAUCUCAAAGGAUUGGAAGAAGCUGGACUAUGCCGAGUUGGAGAAUCGAGUGAGGUUCCAUCGAGGUUCCGGUCCGCGGCUCUGUUAUUACAUCAAAAAUAAAAAUUACAAGUUAAAAACAAAAAUAAAAUUACAAAAUCCUAUCUACGCAGCUUCUGUUGGACUCUUGACUUGAGUUUCAUCACUCUAUUCUUCAGGCGAGCUCCUGAUUUGAAAUUUCUUCAACUUGUUGCUUGGUUUUCAAUUUCAUCACCCUGUUCUCCAGACGGGCUCCUGGCUUGUUAUUUUCUAUCUGUUGACUUUCAUUUUCUUCAGUUUGUUACUUGACUUUCAACUUCUUCACCUUGUUACUUGACUUUCAAUUUCUUUACCUUGCUGGUUGACUUUCCAUUUAUUCUCCCUGUGCUUCGGGCGGGCUCCUGAAAUCACAUCAAAACUAGAAAAAAAAUUAUCCCAAACAAAUAUUAUUAUAAAGAGAUUUCAUAUGCCAGGAAAGUAAAGUUCUAACACAAGAAUUAAAUUUUGCCCCAGUUUGGACUUUUGCGAAAGUCAAAUCAUUAUAGGAAUCAAGGAGAAUGACUCGAUUAUAAGGUGCGUCUGAUAGGAAUCAAAGGAAUUGGCUCAACUAAAAGGUACGUAUUUGAGGGAUCAAGGAUAAUGACUCGACUAAAAGGUACGUCUUAUAGGAAUCAAGGGAGAUGCCUUGACUAAAAGGUACGUCUUACUAGCAAUCAAGGGAGAUGACUCAACUAAAAGGUACGUCUUAUAGGAAUCAAAGGGAAGGACGCGACUAAAAGGUACGUCUUCUAGGAGCCAAAGGAAAUGACUCGACUAAAAGGUACGUCUUAUAGGAAUCAAAAGGAAUGACUUGACUAAAAGGUACGUCUUAUAGGAAUCAAAUGAGAUGACUCGACUAAAAGGUACGUCUUAUAGCAAUCAAAAGAAAUAACUCGACUAAAAGGUAUUUCUUCUAGGGGUCAAAGAGAAUGACUCGACUAAAAGGUACGUCUUAUAGGAAUCAAAGGGAAUGAAUCGACUAAAAGGUACGUCUUCUAGGGGUCAAAGGGAAUGACUCGACUAAAAGGUACGUCUUAUAGGAAUCAAAGACAAUGACUCAACUGAAAGGUACGUCUUAUAGGAAAUAAAAAAGAUGACUCGACUAAAAGGUACGUCUUAUAGGAAUCAAAGGGAAUGAAUCGACUAAAAGGUAAGUCUUAUAGGAAUCAAAGGAGAUGACUUGACUAAAAAGUACGUCUUAUAGGAAUCAAAGGGAAUGACUUGACUAAAAGGUAGUGUUCUAGGGGUUAAAGGGAAUGACUCGACUAAAAGGUACGUCUUAUAGGAAUCAAAGGAAAUAACUCGACUAAAAGGUACGUCUUAUAGGAAUCAAAGAAGAUGACUUGACUAAAAGGUACGUCUUAUAGGAAUCAAAGGGAAUGACUCAAAUAAAAGGUACGUCUUAUAGGAACCAAAGGGAAUGACUCAACUAAAGGGUAUGUCUUAUAGGAAUCAAAGGAGAUGACUCAACUAAAAGGUACGUCUUAUAGGAAUCAAAGGAAAUGACUCGACUAAAAGGUAUGUCUUUUAGGGAUCAAAGGGAAUGACUCGAUGAAAAGGUACGUCUUAUAAGAAUCAAAGGGAAUGACUCGACUAAAAGGUACGUCUUUUAGGGAUCAAAGGGAAUGACUCGACUAAAAGGUACGUCUUCUAGAAAUGAAGGUUCAAUUUAAGAAGUGUAUCAUCCAGCAAAUGAAAACUGAAAUUCCUCGACAAGUAAGUGUGUCUCCGAGGGAUAUAAGAUGAUGAAUUUUUACCAUGAUUUAAUUAUCAAACCUGUGCAACAGCAUUGCUUCUCGCAUUUGUAAAAGUAAGAAAUUACGGGCCUUGAUGUUUAGGAUUUGAAAUCCUUGAUUUGAAGGUAACAUGUGUUCCUGUUUCAUGCAAAGAAAGGUUGUGAGAUCAAAAACAUAGUGACUGGUUUGUGGCUUUGGCUUUCGUGGAAAACGCUCUUGCCGUCAUCAUAUUUAAUCUUGCUUCCAACCAUUAGUCUGUGUCAUUGACUUGCUGCUUUAUUGACCAAACUCAGAUUAUUAAGAGUGACUGAGACAAACACAGCAUCUCUGCUUUGCCAUGCUUCUCAGGUAGACCACCUUGGAACCUUGGUAUUUCAUGAGUUCCCAGACUUAUUUGUUAACAAAACUUUCUGCUUGCCUCAUUUUGGCUCACAAUCAUGUCUCUUUCAUGCGUUGGCCUUUCUGCCUUACUUUGUACAAUUGAAGAAGCUGGUAGCCAGUUUUGAAAUUUUUUCUCACUUGUUUUGACAUAGACUUGACUCAAAUACAAGAGAAAAAUGACAAUAAUUUUGUUUGGAUAACUGACUCAAGAAAAAUAAAAAUAUAACUAUAGAAAAGAAAGAAAUGAUAAUGAAUGUCCCCAUUGAAAAAAAUGAAAAAAAACUUUAUCUGAAAAUGAUAGUCAACUCUAAUGAUUAUGACAUGCAUAUCGGAUUAAACUACCUGAUCUUUCCAUCCAAAACUCUCAUAAAUUGUUGUUGAGUUAAUGACCCUGAAAGUGGGUUGCUUUCUUGGGCCAAUUGCAUUCGGAGACCACAUUCGGCUAGUGACGCCUUGAAGGGUUUUCUUCAAUAAGCCUCUCUCAUUUUCUUUUAUCACCUGACCAUUGCCUUAUAGUAUCCGAGAGGGUUUUUUACCAAUAAGAUUCUUAUUUUCAUUUUUCUCAACUCAUAGUCGUCUUACAGUGCCCGUGAGGAUGAGCAUUGUGGAUAAAAAACCUUGUUGCAAGUGGUUAUGUGGAUUUCUUGGAUUUUGGGGAAAGAAACCUUAUUGUAAGUGGUUAUGUGGAUCUAAUAUGUAAGCUCGGGAUUGAGGCUGACAGUACUGGUGGGUUGGACCUCUCAAACUCUACUUUGGUCCUGGCAUGACAAUAGGUACAUUUUUCUUCUUCUUUUCUUCAGUUUCCCUUGUUUGAUUGCAAUGUCGUCCUAAAUGUUUCACAGAAUCCUUCUGUCCAUCAGGCUCCCCAAAUUUUGAUGUCUCAAAGCUAGGAGGAAGAUUAACACUUGAAGACAUGACCUUGUUUUUAUAUGAAACAUCUUCAUAGCCCAUAAGUUCAGGGGAAUUUUUCAUAUCAUUUUCUACACUCUUAACUUUCCUAACCAUUUUCUCUAGCUCUUCUAGCAUGCUAGGCUUCUUAGUAAAAAAUUUUGACGGUCCACUUAAUUUAACGGUAGGCUCAAGAGUAUAACAAUGAUCAUCAAGAGUAUUGAACGUGGAUUCAUGACUAGUGGACUGGAGAAACACAAUCGUUGGAUUGAUAGCCAAAGUGGAAGUCUUAGUAGAAGGUUGAGCAAUAAAAACACAGACAGUAUAUGAUGCUGUGAAUGUGGUAGACUUAUACUGAGGAGCUAAAGAAAGAGUGGUGGAAGUAUUGAGGUGCAUUUGACGUGGAAUGAAUUAUGAGGCAUGUUGUGGUAUAUCAACAACAGUAGGAAAUUGACUUUGCGAUUUUGGUGGAAGACUCAAGGUAUUUGCAGGGUCAAAAGUGGGGAACGGAGGUGGAGGCAGCCCACUGGCCCAAGCUCGGUAUAUUUCCAUCAUUUGUUGUCUCAGUCUCAAAUUCUCUUUCUUUAAACUCUCAAUUUCCUGACUCUUUGUUUUAUCCAUGGUGCCACUUUUUAUAUCCUUGUUGGACACAACUAAACCUUCCUUGAAUUUGGUGUGAUAUGGAGGACCAGUCAGGAAGUCACAAACCAACCACCAUAAACUAACUGAACAAGAGGCAACAAAUAUGUUAGAGUUCAACAUUUUUCAAAACCUCUUUUUUUUUUUAGAAAAGACCACCGAACCCAAGAAGGGCGCCUGCAUAUCUCACCCCCGAGAGAGGAGAAUCAGGUGUGCGUAGUUCGUGAAGUCUUGCUAAAAUGGCCAAUUAAACUCUUUGUUUUCUUUCUUUUUUUUGUUCUUUUUCUCGAAACUUUAAGAAGAAAAGAAAAUAACAAUUUGUCAAAAGAAUUGACGAAAAUGUUUUUGAAUUUUUCAGCUUUAACAUCCCUAUACAAAGUGAAAUCAAUGAUUACCAAAUAAUUUUUUUUGGGGGGGUUUCAGUUUUAAAUUUCAUAUGAAAAUGAAACCUGAACCUGUUAAAGGGAAAUCUUUUUGCAGUUUUCUUUUAUUGAUGCAUAUGACACCUACUCUAAAUGAUGAGUGAAAAAAAUAUUUUUAAAUUUUUUAAAUAAGAUCCCCGAACCAACAAUAGGUUGUCUACGUAUCUCACAUUCCGAAAGAGGAGAAUCAGGGGUGGCGUAGUUCGUCCAGAUGGGACAAUUAAAAAUUAAAUAACCGACUGAACCCUGACUUAAUAGAUGAGACUACAACGAUAAAAAUCUUUUUUGAGGUUUUCACUUUGACACUCCACAUAAAACUGACACCAACAACUAUGAAAGAAAAAUCUUUUUGAUAUUUUCAUGAAAUGUACAAAACUCCUACAAUUUUUACAUUUUUCUUUUAUAAAAAAUCCUAUGAAUGAAUUUUUUUUUUUUUAAAGUUUUUGAAUUAUGAAUACUUGCUUAAGGAAACAAAAGAAAAAUCUUUUUGAUGUUUUUGAUUUUGACAAAUGAAUGCAAAAGGUGAAAAGAUUUUUUUGAAUUUUUGGAUUGUGAAAAACGAAAGCCCUAAAGAACUCUAAAAACUACGAAACUCUCUCUUUUUUUUUCUUCGACUCACUUUUUUCAUUGCCUUCACACUUGAUUUCUAACACAUGUUUUCCCCAAAUCGGUCUGUCAAAAGACCCCAUUAUCCUCAAAGAUGCAACGUUUAGCACGUAGGGAUGAGGUAGAGGUGAGUCUCCUAUAAAAGACCAAAUGGGGCCCGCUAGGUAUCAAUAUGAUGAACAUAGUAUGACCUAAAGGCUGACCUAUGCUAGGGUUCACCAACAAGGCUGUUCGGGGGAGCGUAUGGUCGAUAGUGGCAGCUUUAGCUGUCCACCUACUCCAUACCAGCCAACGGCUCCCCUCUUUUAAAAUAAGGGUGACUAAACUAUAGGUCCUGUACACAGCGUGUACGACAGAACUUGUUGCAGAAAGAUUGACUCGGGUCAUGCACAUGAUGCCAGAUAUAAAACGGUAACACAUAAGAUAAAAACUGUAAACAAAGAGCACGUAGGCACUUAACAAUGAUAAACAAUAACACAAAAUAACACAAACAAAAUGUCUAUACACCUAUAGUGACAAACUAAGCCGAUACAACUCCAAAAUAAACUCGAAUUCUAAAAAAAAUCCCCAGCAGAGUCGCCAGAGCUGUCACACCCCCUUUUUUUAAACUCCAAAAAAAUUAUUUAAGGUUUGAAAGGGUUUUUACUAUUAAAGUAACAAAAUGAAGAUAAUUUGUUUCGUGAAGGACCUUUUACAUUCAAAACUCAGAGUCGCCACUUGGCGUAAUCUGGUGUGCCAAGUCACCAUUGAAAAAUCCUUUUCAAAAUCAUUUGAUUCUUUAAAUUGGUUUGCAAACAGAGAUUCCGACUAACUAAUUCUGUUGACCGCGGAAGGGUGUUAGGCACCCCUUGAUCCCGUGGUUCGACCACGGUCGCUUGGUGGAGUAUAUCGACUAAUUUGACCACUAUGAAUGAAUAAACCACACCACACACAAAUAAAAUGAUCAAUCAAACAAACAAAUCUAAAACAAUGUCCAGUCCAAUUAUACAGUCCAAAAUAGAAAAAGAAUGCGAAAAUGUAAAUCUUAUCCUACCCUACACUAAUUUUAUACUAUGCUCCCAUGCUACCCGAUGCCUCGGGCCUUCAUCACGGACGUCCUCCAAAUACAAAAUACUUCGGGGCAUUCCCCAGCAAAUAAAUACAAGUGAUCGCAAGGCAUUCCUCAAUUAAAUAAAUACAUUUCCAAAUGCAAGAACAAAAACCAAACCGUUCAACUCAAAUUCCACAUUCAAACAUUCAACAAGAAAACUUAUUCCUAAAUUUUUUGCCUACCCGAACCAACAUUCGCCUAUCCAUUUCAAUAUAUCAUAAUUUUAUCACAUUCCAACAAUAUUCAUGCUCAUUACGAAUUAAACAAAACAACAAUAAAUCAAAGUUAAUCUAAAUUCAACUUUUUUAUCAAUUUCUCAAUUUCAUCCCACAAAAUUCAUUUUUAACCACAUUAUUAAACUAGUUCGACUAUCAAAUCACCUUUCGAAAUCUGAAACCAACAACACAUACCCCAAUGAAGAUUCAAACAUUUAAGCAUACCAAUCAUUCAUAUCCGCAAUAACAAUUAACAUUUUUGCUCGAAAUAUUCAAAACCACACCACAAAAUCACGAUAUUAACCAAUUUCGAUAUAAUAAAAAAGUAGAGUUGAGAGAUGGACCCUUGAAGAAUCGAUUUCGUUGAUAAUAAAAUCAAGAAAGCCCGGACUAUAGAAUUCCUUAUAGGACCUCAACAAUGACGAACUCCAACUCCGUAUUGAAAAACUUGAGACCCAAAACUGAAGCUCCGUAAAUUCAAUCGAACUCAAAAACCGACACUGUUCACGUACUAUUCAUGGUACUGUUCACAACACUGUUCACGACACUAUUCACAACACUGUUCACGGUACUAUUUCUCUCUCGAUAUUUUUUCUCUCGCUUGAUUCUCUCUUCUCUCCCUUGGUCUUUUUUGUUCUUCUUGUGAGGAAGAUGAUUUGGUGAUUAUUGUUAUUGUGGAGAAGAUGAUGAUGAAAGAAUGAGCCUCCCUUUUCCCCUUUUAGAAUUUUCCUUUUAUAUAUUUUUUAUUUGGUUUUUCUUUUUGUUUAUUUAUUAUCCAUGUGGAAGCAUAUAAUUGGUGUCUUGUGGGAAUAAGUGUGUGGCAUGUGGAAAAGUUAGUGUGACAUGUGAAAAGAUGAGGGUGGCGUGUGAAAAAAUGAGUAGGGCGUGUGCCUUUUGCAUGUAUCCAAUUAAAAAUGAAAAGUGAGGUGUUGAGGUGGCAUAGUGAGGUGACAAAGAUGCUUUGUGUUUAAUUAUUUUCAAUUCUUUUUUUUUUUUUGAGAAAUUAUCAAUUAAACAAAAGUAUGGUAAGGUGAAUAAAAUAAAAAUAAAAAUCAAAAUAAAUAAAAUUAAAUAAAAAUGAUUAUAAUAAUUUUGAGAAAGGAUAAAAUUACGUGUCUACAAUAUGUCAUGUGUCUUUCAUCUUCAGAAGAUCGUCAACUUAAAAGUUUAUCGGUUCAAAAACGGAGUUUGUAGAUAUAGCGCAUUAAACUACUGCAUUUGUACCUGUCCAUUAUUGCAGUAAAUCGGUUGCGAAGACUAAGGCUGGCAUGAGAGUAUAUUGAGUGAUCUAUCAAAAAGUUCAAUUUAAUAAAAUCGACAUAGGAGUCAUACUUUGUUCCCAUUAACGAAUAUCCAAAUUUUAAAUCAGAUUUAUAAAUAAAGAGAAAAUAUACCCAAUAUAACAUACGGGAGAGUCAUUUAACACAUUGUGAUAGUUAAAUCCAAAUAUGGUUUAAGAAAAAUAAAAAAAAAUCCAAGUAUGGUUUGAUGGACGCUAUUACUAUAUGUACAAAGUUGCUGAUGUUGCUUGAAGUUGAUUACAUACAUCACUAUUUUACUGUUUUUUUCAGAAAAUAUUUUAAACUUCAUUUUGAUAGUUGAUAAAUUGUUUGAACUUAUGUUUGAAGUUCUUGAAACUUCAUUUUGAUAGUUUAUAAGUUGUUUGAACUUGUGUUGAAAUUCUUGUAGAUUAAUAAUUAAUAUACAUAUUGUACCCAAAAAAUACACUUCUAUGAUUAAGCUUGUUGAAUUUAAUUGUUCAAGGGUAAGCAAAAUCAUACAAAACAAAUAAUAUGGAUUAUGCAUUUUAAGGUUUCGAACGGUAAAAAUGUGAUGUUAGAAUUAAAUUGAAUAAUAAAUGUACAAAAAUUUAUUUUGUAAUAGACUAAAAAUAAAAGUAUGUCAUAUCGAAGUUGAUGAAAAUGGUAUAUGGUUUUGCCAUAACAAUGUCAUAAGAAGAAUAUUUAAUUUGAUUCAUUUUUUCAUUUGUUUUAAUUUUUUUUUUUUAUCCUUUGUUUAUGGAUAUUUGAUUCAAUAAACUAAACUUCUAGCAUUAAAGUGUGUUCUAAUCAUUGAGAGACAAUUUAGGUAUGAAACUCAUAAUUUCAAUCAUGUUGGCAUCAAAAUAGAAAACUUAAAUAUUAUUAAUUAGGUAUAAUUUUUAUCCUUUUAACUCCUAUAAAAUUAAAAAUUAGAGGUACAAUCAAUAUAAUGUCAAUUUCAAAUAUGUCUUAUACAUACAUGGCAUAUUAGAUAUGAAAACAACGAUGGGCAAUUUCUUCAAGUUUAUGUCUUAUUCGUAGAGCUGAUAUUUUUCUUUAUUUGUUUCUUUCUUGUGAUGAGUACUAAUAGGAAAAAAGCAUAAUUUUUUUCUAACCAUAUUCAACUUCUUUCUCUUGUUUUUUGAUUAUUAAAGUGGAGGUUUUACGAUGUAUAUCUUCUUACAACACUCUUGAUAUGAAUGAUAAAUAUCUAAAUUACAUCUAUACAUUUUUGUAGACCGAGUUAUAAUCAUUUUUGAAAUUCCUCGGUAUUAAAUUCCCUUUGAGAAUCACUCAUUCAGUUCUUGUAUAAAGGACAGUAAGAAUUAUAUUGAUAUUUUAUUUUAGUCUACAUAAAAUUAUUUAUUUUUAUCACUCAACUCAAAUUAAUCUAACUUACUUCAACCCAAAUCCAACACGAACAUAACCAUUUUCACUUUCACUAGCUACACCAGAAAAGAUAUUUAAUGACAAUUAGUUAAUAAUAACAUUGUAAUUGUCGUUAAAUAUAUCUUUUAGAAAAAAAUAUUAGUAAAAAUUAGAUUAUAGCACUCUUUGUAAAUGUUCUAAAAUGAAUAGCGAUAUUGAAUUCAAUGCCAAUAAAAAUUGAAACAUUUUUUUUUAAAUAUAUGCAUUUAUUAUUGCUAAAAGUCUUUAUUAAUGUAUCGUGCAAAAUAGUGUCUUUACUCUUCUUUUUAUUUUUGUCACAAUGAUUUACUUUACUUUGUACUUGUCUGAAUUUGUAUUAGAGUAAAUACAUAAUUAUCUUUCUGAUCUUGUCCGAAUUUUAUAAAAAGACAUCUAAACUUUAACUUCAACCCAUUACCCCACGAAUCUUCUUUAUUCUGUUGCAAAUACACAAUUUUGACCCUCUGCGUGUAUACACGCGCCACAAACGCGUGAAAAGGCAAAAAUUGACUUUUUUGACCAAUUAAAAGCUGCCAAGUGUAAAUAAUUUAAUAUAUAAUUUAUAUUCUUUUUUUUAAAAUCAAUAUUUAUUUAUUUUUUAAAAUUAUNNNNNNNNNNNNNNNNNNNNNNNNNNNNNNNNNNNNNNNCAACAACAACAUCAAUUACAACAACAACAUCAAUUACAACAACAACAACAAUAUCAUCAUCACCAUAAUUUUAAAAAGAAAAUAUGAUGUACAAUCUCUAUUUUAAUGGAGCUUUAAACUCCAUUUUAAUGGAGGGAAUUGGACGGGAAUGGGGGAGGGAGGGGUUGGAAGGAGUGGGGGUGGGGAGGUGGGGUGGGGUCAUAAACAAAAAUGGAGCUUAAAGCUCCAUUAAAAUGGAGAUUGUACAGGAGCUUUAAGCUCCAUUUUAAUGGAGAAAACUAGAAGCGGGGGGAGGGGGAGCUGUUGGACUUGGGGUGGGGGAAGGGGGUGAUAAAUUAAAUAUAAAGGAAAAAAUUUAUUAAAAAAUAAAUAAAAUAUGAAAUUAAAAAUAUUUGACACGUGGCAUCACCUGAUUGGUGCGUGCAUUCACUCUCUUUUUUGUGACUGAGAUUCAGCGAAAAAUGAUGUAUUUGCAACGAAAUAAAGAAGAAUCGUGGGUUAAUAGGUCAAAAUUAAAGUUUAGGUGUCUUUUUACAAAAUUCGGACAAAAUCAGUGAGAUAAUUAUGUAUUUACUCUUUAUAUUAUGAAUACUUCUACUUAAUUCUUUAUCAUCGGACCCCUAUAUUCUCCAAAACAAAAAAAAUUUUAAACCCUUUUUACGAUUUAGGCCUCCUAUGUGGUAUAAACAACCAAGGAGCGGGUGCUAUAAAUAUUUUUGAAGCAUGAGACAUUAUAAAAAGGCUCAAUCAUCUUCUUUCCCAUUUACAUUUAACACCACUGUUGAAUAAUAUUAAGCUUUUUCUUACCUCUUUUUCGAUCGUCUCUCUUGAAAUUUCUUCUCCAUUAAUUUUUUUCUAGUCCUUACACAUUUCUUUUUUGUGCAUUUUCAUGUUAUUUUUUCCUUCAAUUUUAAUUUUGACAACUUUUUUUACUAUUGUGAACUUUAUGUCAUUGAAUACAAGCAUAGCACCUCUACAAAAACAUCUUACACUACACGAAACAAAGCAAAACCUUGGAAAUAUUUCAAUAAAAGCAAAUAUUAAUCAACAAUCUUAAAAUCAAAGAACGACACAAAUACUCAAACAAAAAGCAGCAACAAAACUUGACAGCAAAUAAUUAUGACUAUAAAUUGAAAACUUAAUUCGAUAGCUUGGAAAUCAAACAGAAACAAUAAGAAAACUCGAAUUAUUUAGUGAAAAUAAAAAAAAAUAGUAAAAAAAGAAAAGAAAAUGGGUGCCUACAUGAAUAACGGGUGAAUGAGAAGAUGUGAAGUUUUUAAAAUCUUUUAACUCUAUCCCGCGUCAUUUUGUACAUGUUAUUUUAGAAUUAUUUUUAAAAUUAUAUGUUAGCGUUAUGUUACACGCUCAAUUAAAUAGUCAAACUAAUUUAAAAAAUUACGUAACGAAAAAUUUAGAGAUUAAAAUGAUAAAGAAUUGAAUAAAAAUAUUCACAAUACAAACUCAAAUAAGUAUAAGUAUAUAUUUUUAAAAAUCAAACAACUAAAUAUGAUAUGUCAUGUGACCUUCAUUAUAAAAAAAAAGGCUUAAGUUAUAGACACGCACUUAAAGUUGUCCCGAAAAUUUAUUUGGACCCCUCAACAAUGGUAUGUACCUAUCAGGCACCUCAACUGCUAACACUAAUACCUAUCAAACACAAACAACUAAUUUGACAAGAAAAGUGUGUUACACUUUCGUUGAAUGCGUGAACAGUAGAAAAAAAAUACUAAUAUUUUAUUUUUUAAUUAAAAAAAUUAUAUUUAAAUUAUUUUAUUAAUCUAAUUUUUAAUUAUUUUAAUUUCUUAAUUUAAAAAUAAAAAGUCCAACCCCCAAUUCAUCUUGUCUUCACUCCCCCUCAUCGUCUUCUUCACAACACCCCCAAGUCAUCAUCGUCUUCACAUCUUUGUCCCCAUCAUCUUCAACCCCCCACCCUCCCCAUAGUCAUUGCUAACCCCCCNNNNNNNNNNNNNNAACCCCCCCCCCCUCCGCCGCCCCAUGCUGACAUCUUUUUUAUCCCAUUAUUGAUAUCAUUUUCUUCACACCCAUUUUUUGAUUUUAAAGCACUUUAAAAUUUAUAAUAUAACUAUUUCUAAACUUAGUCAUCUGAAAAUUUUAACAACUCAAUUGGUUGCUACUUGAAACUCACGCCUGUUGAUUAUGUUGAUUUUUCAUAUUGUAAUCUAUUCUCUAUAUUUAUAAGAGGAAGGGAAUGCCCUUCCACUACUUCCAAUUGAAAGAAAGGGUUUAACAUUCCUGGAAAUUACCCUCUCUUUCCUUUUGCUUAUUCCUUGUUUUAUACGAUAAUGCAGAAUAGCUACUUCUUCUUCUUCUUUGUCAGUAAUUUCUUGCAUAUUUAUCCAUGGCUUCUCAAUACAAAUCCACUCAAAAAUGGGAAUUUGAUACCUUCUUGAAUUUUGGAGGACAAGAUACCCGUUACAACUUUAUUAAACCUCUCCACAAAAAAUAGGAAACCAGUUUUUAAAAAAGGUUCAGCUUCUAUGGAAAAAAAAAAAGGGGAGGGGUGGGGGGGGGGGGAGAGGGCGAGGGGAGAGGUGUAAUUUACUUUUUUUUUUUUUAAUUCUAAAAUAAUUUAUUUUGGAGUUUAUUGUGGAGUAAUAUAUUUAAAAUAAUUUUUGAACCCACACGAUAUGUGUCAUUAUUUAAUUGAAUUUUUAAUUUAUACAGUAGUCUUUUUAAAAAAAAACGUUAGUCACGUAUUUUUUUUAUUGGUCAUUUUUGCCAUGUUAGGUAAGUGUGUUACACACGCUUUUUAAAAAAAAAAUUCGUUUGCCACGUAUUUUUUUUUAUUGGUCAUUUUUAUCAUAUCAUGCAAGUGUGUUACACACGCUUUAUAUCUUUUGUUGAUUGUUUAAAAAAGACUUAAUUGAAUCAAAAUUUGAGUGAAUUAAAAAUUUGAUAGGUACAUGUUUUAAUUAAGAAAUUUGAGUAAAUUUUUAAGAUAAUUUUAAGUGUUUAUUGAUGAUUUAAGCCUAAAAGAGAAUAUUGAGGAAUCAAACAUACAAUUUAAAGGGACAAUACAUUUGUUUUAUAGUUGACAUUAUUGUAUGUGAAAAUGACGGCGAUCGAUUUGAUCCCUCUAUUGUUUUAUUCAUAGAGCUAUAAUUUCUUUUUAUUUGUUCCUUUUCCAUAAUAAGUCAUAUUCAAACAAAAGUAGGGACAGCACCUUUGCCUGCAGCCAGUUAUUAGCUCAUUAAAAGAAUAAUCAAACAAAGGCUCAAAAAAAAAAAAAAAGAAUGUGAACUUGAUAUUAUUAGAGUCCGAAACUAAACUAUGCCAUCAAAUUAAAAAUUGCAUCAAAAUAUAUUAUAUAUUUAAAAUAAUACCAAACUAAAUAGUGAGUUAAGCAUAAUUUGAUACUUUUUAAAAUAUAUGGCAUACUAGAUAUAGAAAUUCAUAUCAGCACAAGUUUUAUAUAUUUUAUUUUUUUAUUUUAAUUUAAGUGGUUCAGAUAAAAUAUUAAAAUUAAAUUAAAUUUUUUUAUAAUUUUUAAAUAUUUUAAAUUAUUUAUAAUUGAUUUACAUUGUAGAAUUAUUAGAUAUUAUAUGUUACAUUUUUGUCUCAAUUUACGGAGCACUGAUGAAAUAUUUAAGAAAUUCAAUCAAAUUUGUUAAGUAUAUAGUUCUUUAGAUAUUGUACUUGUUAAUUAAUAUGAUAUUAAUAGAAUUUGAAAAGUCAAAAUAAUUUUUUAAAAUAUCCUUCAAAUAUUUUGAUUUAGUAUUAUUGUGAUUUAUAUUACUUUUUAUGUCAUUUUCAAAUAAUAUAUAACUUCCUUUACCUCAAUUUAUGUGUGCUGCUAGAAUCUCAAAUCAAUCAAAAAAAUUUAUGUGCUUUGAAAUAAUUUAAAUUGCUAAGUAUUAUAAUUUUAAAUAUUAUUAUAUAAUUUUUAAAUACAUAAAAUAUNNNNNNNNNNNNNNNNNNNNNNNNNNNNNNAUUAUAAAAUUUCUCUCGAUCAGAAGUCGACAGUUGAAAACAGAUAUGACAACUAUCAAUCGCUUGCUUACUCGCGUUUCUAUAGUAAAACUAGAUACAAAAGGCCCGUGGAAUAUUUUAAGUAUACGACAAAUAAAAUUUGGAGGCAACCAUAUAUUUUUUAUAUUCUUAAAUACUUUAAGUUAUACUUUAUUCAUAAUAUUCACAUAAUAUAUGUUAUAUAUUUUAUUUAAAUUUAUGUGGUGUAAAUAAAAUUUUGAAAGUCAAUAUAAAAUAUUUUAUAUUACGUACAUUAUAGAUAUUUUAAAUUGUUACUUAUUGCGAUUUAUAUUAUUUUGAACAUAAUUUUCACUUAGUAUAUAUUACUCUUUUUGUCUCAAUCCUUAUGGAUGUUUUGACGCGAUAAAUUCAAGGUCAAAUACAUCGACAAAUUCCUUAAUUUGGCAGGAUUUUUCACUUUGACACCUAAGGUGAAUAUUGUUAAUUUUAAGCACCCAAACCAACUACAAAGUGUGUCAUUUUGAUACUUUUUUGCAUCAACUCUAGCACGUGAAUUGUACUCGCUUUUAACAUGGAUUAAAUGACCAAUUAAUUUGUGUCACCUCAUUUUAAAUUGUCAUAUCAUUAUAUGCAUACAUAAUUAUUUUUUUAUAAAAAAAAAUAAAACACAUUACAAGGUGUCCAAUGAAUUAAUGACACGUGGCUUUUGACCACAAUAUUACAAAAGUACUUUGACUUCAUCUUCUUCACCCAACCAUUCUUCAAGCUUAACCUCCAUCAAUGAAAGUUGAAUUUUUCAAGAAUGAUAAACAUACCUCCUCAUUCUUUUACGGAUGAUAGAUCCUGACACUGACGCAUAGUUCAUUGAUUAAAAUGCACCAUAAGAGCAUAUUUUUUACUUAUAAACAUACGUACACCUGGCUCAUCAGACCUAUCCGGGCAGUCACAAAAAUCAUCAUUGAGCUGAGCUUUAGUGAAUUUCUUUGACCCAUCUUUGCAUUUUGUAGCACCAGAUGUUAAACCCUCGUAAUAAUUCUCAACUGCAAUCAACAACAAAUCUUGAUGACUAUUUUCACUUAACAUCAACAAAAUCAUCAAAAACAGCUAAAUUAACAAUUAUUUCUACAGAAAAAAUUUCAUAUCACAAAAUGGGGUCAGCUGCACUUCCAUCAACAAAACUAAUCAUUAUCUCAACAGAAAAUUUGAAAAUUUCGCCCAUUUCCAUCAAAACAGCAAAAUUAACAACUAUUUCUAUAGAAAAGUAAAAGCUUUUUCUAUCCAAAUUUCAUUCACCUUGCGACUAGGAAUUAAAUUCCUUUAAAUUGUAUCUGAUUAAAUAUGUAGAUCGAUUCAUAACCUUUCAAGCACAAUCAUUUAAAAAUCACGAAACGAUUCAUCAAAAAAUAGCAAAUUUAGCAAUUAUUUAUUAAAUAUCAGCUCCAUUUGCAUCAAAAACAGCUCAAUUAACAAUCAUUUAUACUAAAAGAAUCUGAAAUCAAGAAAUGGGUCAUUAAUAGCUUCCCGAACUUCUUUAAACAUGCUCUUAUGAUGAAAAAAUGGUGAAAUAUGGUGGGAUGAAAAAAUAGGAAAGAAGGUGAUAAAAUUAAAUGAAAAAUGGGCUAAAAUAAAGUUGCCAUGCGUCAAAAAACGAGUGUUAUACACCCACUUUACUGAAUCAACAAAAAGUGUCAAAGUGACACAGUUUAUGGCUACUUUAGGUGCUUAAAAUGAACAACGCCCAUCUUAGUUGUCAAAGUGAAAGAACGUGCUAAGUUAAGGGACCUGUCAAUGUGUUUAGCCUAAAUUCAAGGUGAGGUGCCCUACUAUUUUCUUUUUUCGGAUGAUGUAGUUUUGAUUGAUAUGAUGAGGCACAUGGUGGAGUUAAUGCUAAAUUGAAGGUUUGGAGGUAAAUUUUUGAAUCUAAAAAAUUUAGAUUGAGUAGGUCCAAAACAGAAUAUUUGAUUGUAUUACUUGAUGAACUUAUAUAUGGUAUUAUUAAGUGUGUCGAUUUCUAUUAUAUCUUGUUAUUUUUUAUCUAGAUUGUUUAUCUUGAAUAGGGGAACUAUUGAAAAUAAUAUUUUUAUCUCAUCAUUGAUAUAAUAAUAUGAAUUGCAUCUACUUAUUCUUUUAGAUCCCACUUGAUAAGAAUAUAGUGAGUAUGUUAUUGUUGUAUGAAUCGUGAAAGUGAACCACAAAAAGAGAAAAAGAUGAUCACCCAAAAUGUAAAAGUGGGUUCCACAUAUAUUAAAGAAUUAAAAUAAUGAAAAAAUGUACUGUGAUAAACUAAAUUUAGGCCGGACAUUUUGUCUAAUAUCGAAAAUGUACACAUGCCUAAAAAAUUUAGAUGCAACAACGUGAACAUCCAAAAAUAAAACAUACCUAAAAUACCCCUAAAAGCACUCAUAAUUUCAUAAAGCACACAUGACAAUCAUAAGUUCUGUGCUUGCUCACAAUUCUAGUAGAUAGUAAUAAUAUGUUGGAUUACUUCAUUUUAUUUUACUUCCACAAGUAAGUCCAUAACAUAAAUUUUGAGAAACAAGAAAAUAUAAUAUGAUACUAUAUGAAGUAUUUUAAAAACAUUCAUAAUGCCUCAUCCGUUGUAUUUUAGUUGGCCGUUUUAUAAUUUCUUAAAUAUUGUGUAAAAUAAAAAGUGAUCGAUUAAAAUGGAAUGAAAAACCCGAUAACGUCAUUUUAACAUUCACAUCAACAAAUCAAUCAUGCCAAAAUAAGAGGAGGAUUUCCAGGUGGGAUCGUUGGCAAACUGCUUUCAAAACUUUAAUAGCAUUCAUCCUUUUGGGUUGGAUUUUCAUUUUAUUGUCUUGCCUCAUCCUUGAGGUUUUGAGCACGUCCACCAAUAUAUGUGGAUGCAAAAUGGAUAACUGUGUAUUCUAAUAAGCAUGGAUUUCCCAUAUUAAUUAAAAGAGAAAACGGUCAAAAGCCCCCCAACCUAUAUCCCAAAUUUCAACUACACAUUUAUACUUUGCGAGGGUCCUAUGAUCCCCUGAACUAUUUUAAAAUGAAAUUAUUACCCCUCCGAAUUAUUUUAAAGUGGAAUAUAUACCCGUCUAAAAGCUCAUACCCAGAUUUUAUUUUAAUUUGUGGUCUACAUGCGCUGCCACGUGUCAUGCCACGUAAUUCCACGGUAUAUUACUUUUUUUACUAUAAAAAAUUAAUUACUUGUCCUUUUCUCUUCUUCUUCCCGACCUAUUUGACUCUCUGGCCGUAGUUAUUUAGGUGGUAUUCCGAGAUCGAAUUCCUCCCGGGAACACACAAAACAAAGAUAUGAACUGGGUAAAUAGAAAUGGAAAAGAGAUGUUCUAUUUCAUCCAAAUUAGUUGCUUUUUCUACUAUUAGAAGUUUAGAACACAAGCCAAGAAACUCAAAACCACAACACAAGCUUCUUCUUUUUCUUCUUCAAUGGCAUAAUAAAUCAUAUGAAAUUCACACGAUAGGUAAUCUUAUCAAAAUCAAAUCAAUAAUUAAUGUCCAAAAAAAAUUCAAUUUUCACAAAAUGACGUCAAUUAAUUUUCAUAAAAUAGUCACUAUUUAUUUGUAAUUAGAACAAAAUUCUUAUUUGGACUUACUUAGUCUUUACAUAUACUCCAUGUCAUGUUGCUAAUUACCUGUUUCAAGUAAAUAAUUAAUUAAGUCGCAGGGCCAAAUUCAUCCAUAAAUCAAUUUCCAGUUAUCAAGAGAAUUAUUUUAAUAGAAAAUGGAUGGACAAACAUUUAAGCACAAACUUUUUCCUUUUGCUCUUAUCAUGGGAUUCUCAAGAUCCAACAUAUAUACUAAACCUUGUAUGUCAGUUUCCUUAAUGUUUUCACAGCCCGAAUUUAUUUUUUUCGAUGAAUUUCAGCAUUCUCAACGUCAAUCAAUUUUUGGGAAUCUAAGAAAUGAUUCUAACUAAGAAAUUAAUUCAAAAUUUUCAAUCUGAAUUGAUUUAACAUUCUCAACGUCAAUCUGAACUGGUUCUAUGAAGUCGGAACAAGUCGAUUUUAUGCUUUGAGAUGAGGAAGAUGAUAAAUUAGUCUUGAAUGUCAUUGAUGAGUUUUGGAUGCCAUUGAAGAAGAAAUGUCAUUGAUGGGUUCUUGGAUUCCACUAAAGAAGAAGAAGAAGAAGAAUUGAAGAAUAAGAAAUGAAGAAGAAGAAUUGAAGAAGAAGAAUUGAAGAAGAAGAAAGAAAAAUAAUAAUUGACAUUGAUGGGUUCUUGGAUGCCAUUGAAGAAGAAGAAGAACAAGAAUUGAAGAAGAAAAAUGAAGAAGAAGAAGAAGAAGAAAGAAAAAUAAUAAUUAAAAUUAUAUAUAUUUAUUUAAAGAAAUAUUAAAAAUAAUUUUUUAAUAAAUUAUUUUCGUUCUCACUCUCUUGCCAUGUCAGCGUUUGGGGGUAAUAAUUUCAUUUUAAAAUAGUUUAGGGAGGUUAUAGGACCCCCGCAAAAUAUAAAUGUGUAGUUGGGAUUUGGGCUAAAGAUUGGGGGGCUUUUGACCAUUUUCUUUAAUUAAAAUACCCCCUCCGUCCCAUUUUAUGUGUCGCCAUUUGACCGGGCGCGGAGUUUAAGAAAUAAGGAAAGAUUUGGUAAAAUUUACCAAAUUAUCCUUUAUAAAAAAAAAUGUCAAUAUAUUUUUUUUAAUUAAGUGGGACCAAUAAAGAUAAAAGGGUAAUUAUAUCUUCAAAAAGUUGCCAAAUAAGGAAAGACGACACUUAUUUUGGGACGAAUUAAAAAAAAAAUAAUGACACAUAAUUUGAUUACCUCUUACCAGAUUUAUUAACGUGGAGUCAUGUGAAAACUACGUAAUUAAAAUUUCUCCUUUCCUCCUAUAUUUUUAACAUACAGUGAAGUGUCACUACAUAAUAAUGAGAAAAUGUGACAUAAAAUGUGAAGCAAAGUAAUGAUUUUCUAUCUAUCUAUCUAUCUAUCUAUCUAUCUAUCUAUAUAUAUAUAUAAAAGUGUGAACACCCCUUAGAAAAGUGAUUUAAACUUUUUGCCCUUAAUUAAAAGAUUUCACAAUAGACAAAAUCGUCUUUUUACUAAAUUUCUUCAAUUAUUAUAUCAUAGUCUUUAUAUUAUUUAUUAUUAGCCAUAAUAAAUAUGUAAGAUUCACUUUUAGAUUAGAAUUCAAUAUCAAUUAAAAUAGUAUUACACGUCGUAUUUUCUUUAUUUAGAUUUAUUAUCCACUUUAGGUUAGGAUAUUCUACCAAAGUUAUCACUUUAGGUUAACUAGGACAAUAUAUAUUCUACACAAAUUUUUGUGGACUACAAAGAAAAAAAAAUUAGGUUGAGACGUUUAGGUUUCACAAUUUAAUGCCACUUUUAGUUUUAAUUUUUCUUUACUAAUUAAUUUUACUAUUACGUUAGUUUGAUUAAAAAAUUAUGUUAUAUUUUCUUUGUAUUGGUUGAUAGGAUUUGCAUGUAAUUAUUUUUGUAUGAAGGUUAGGUUUAAUUGUAUUGUUCUAACAUCUUGAUAAUUGUGUUGUUGUAGUUUCUAUCUCGUUACUAUAUGCUAUUUUUUAAAAUUAAUACAAGUGGUCAAUGAAUGUUCGAUCAGACUUUGAGUAAUUUUUGUAUAAAUUUAAGGUUUAGUUGUAUCGUUCUGACGUCUCGAUUAUCGUAUUGUUUUGUUGUUGUUUCUGUUCUAUUGAUAUCUGCCAUUUUUUCUGCUUAAUACAGGUGAUAGAUGAAUGUUUCAUCGGGCUUUGAGAAAUUAUGUGUAAAGGUUAGGUUAAAUCAUAUUGUUCUAAUAUUCGAUUACCGUAUUGUUAUUAUGUAUUUUCUGAUUUCUCGAUUAUCGUAUUGUGUUGUUGUAGUUUCUGUUUUGUUGCUAUUUGCCAUUUUUUCUGCUAAAUACAGGUGAUAGAUUAAUGUUUGAUCGGGCUUUGAGAAAUUAUGUGUAAAGAUUAGGUUAAAUCUUAUUGUUCUAAUAUUCUAUUAUCAUAUUGUUUGUUGUAUAGUUUUUAUUUGCUAUUUUUUUUUUAGUACUUCAAGUGAGAAAUGAAUGUUUGGUUGAGCUUUGAAGAAUUUUUAUGUAAAGAUUAAGUUUAAUCUUAUUGUUCUAAUAUCUUGAUUAUCUAUCCCAUUUUUAUUUUCUAUUUUUCUGCUUAAUACAUAUGGUAGAUGAAUGUUCGAAUGAGCUUUAAAAAAAAUGUGUAAAAGUUAGAUUUAAUCAUAAUUGAACAACAUAUUUAGAUGUAUUUUUAAUUUUCACUCUUAACAAAAAUAUUGUGAAAAAAAUUUCAUCAAAGAUGACUGGUUCAGUGUAUUGCCAACAAAUCGAUAAAGAGGACAAAAUAUUACACAUCUAAAAAUUGUUAGUAGCCAUUAGAUUAGGAGAGUCUAAAUCAGAAUUUUGAGGACGAGAGAAGAGUGCAUUUGGAUUAUUAGUAACAACAAAAGUAAGCUUACUUAGAACUGAGUCGUUGCGGUUUAUAGGAGGCAUAAGAAUAUUUGUUUUGUUAGGGAUAUUAACUGCACAACGAAUCUUAAACUAAGAUAUUUCAGAGGCAUCGAUAAAGAUGACAUGUAACUGAGGACAGUGAGGACGUUAUGGGCAAACUUAAGGAAAGUGGUCAUAAUUUUCUCCAUAGUUGAAUUUUGAUUCUUCUACGGAAGCUUGAAAGGAAGAGUGAACGGUUGAACACUAAAAAGUAUGUGGAAUUUGAAUAGUGUGACUUAAUUUGGAACGAAUGAGAGAUCUGACCAGUCCAUAUUAUUAUAUAUGAAUGAACAAUAUCUAAAUAGUUAACAAAAGAUUGAAACAACAAUAAAAUUUGAAUAUAAAUUCACCAAAUCUUGGACCUCUUCAUUCCAAAAGAGGUGCAAUACUAUUGUUAUUGUUUGAGAACUAUCUAUUCCUUUUUACUCAAAACAAGAAUCUUUUAAAACAUUACAAUUUAUAUUACUUUUAUUAAAAUUUAAAUAUCUAAGUAGAACAAGAAAAUCAAUACACGAUAUAAAAUCAGAUAGAGUACUUUAGAGUUUAGACAUUGUAUUCCUCUUUAGUGAUAAAUUCCUAUAUGACUCUCAAUAAUUUUAAUAAUAUCCUAUUUACUAGAACAAAUCCACCAACAAAUUCUUUAAAAUUAAUAGUGAUAGGAGUCACAAAGAUAAUUUAAGUGGAUGAUGAUGAUGAUAAAAGAUUCAAAGGAAAGAUGAUAAUGACCUAUUCUAUUCACUUUCACGAGUAAUAUUGCAGAAGUUAAAACUCUACAAUUUGAGGUUCAAUGAUAUAUAACAUAUCCAAGGCUUAUCUCUUUCUCUUUUUCUUCUUUGCUUAAAUAAGAAAAAAGUUGACUUUGCAAUGUUAGUUGCAGUAUGAAGUUUGUCAUGUCUCCAUGAUAAGUUACAUAAAAAUUAGGGAUGAGAUAAUAUAUAAAUAUGACUCUAAAUUUGACACCAAAUUAUAAUUUUGACCUUAAACUUUGAUAGUACACAAAUAGGACCUUUAACUAUUCAGAACCUGAACGAAUAUGACCUCCGAUUUUGCAACCUUCAUGCGUGAGUUUCACUCGCGCCUAUGUGGAAAAGUAAUCCAAUCACACUAUGUCACAUCGUUAAAAGGGCUGACUUGGAGGGAGAUCAUAUUUGUGCAAUUUUGAAUAGUUAAAGGUCAUAUUUGUGCACUGUCAAAGUUUUAUUUUUUGUGUUAAAACAACGUCGUUUUUAUUAUUAUUAUUAUUAUUAUUAUUAUUAUUAUUAUUAUUAUUAUUAUUAUUAUUAUUUAUUUAUUUAUUUAUUUAGGGAUCGAACCCACGCAGUAGGCUGAAGGAAGCACCCAAGAAGAGCAAACAACACCACUGGGCUAUCUAAGUGUCUUGUUUCAUGUGGUUCAACAUUAAUAUACGUACAUAAAUAUAGAUUUUCUACCUUAUAUAUACAAUGUCAUUUUUUUACCGAGGGGCUUCGGGUGAACCCCAUGACAACCACUUAGGUCCGCCCCUGCGUUAAUUUAAUAACAUUUUAAUAACGUUAAUUUGAUAACAUUAAUUUAAUAUACUACUACUAGUAUCCUUAAUAAUGUUAAUUUAAUAACGUUUUAUUAAAACUAUAGUUUUUUUUUAUUAUUAGUAUAGUUUCAUCUUUAAUUUAAUAGUUAAAUAAAUUAUAUUUAGAUAUAUUAUAUAACUUAAAUUCACCUUUUGCUUUAUAAUAUAUAUACAUACCUGUGCGAUUUUUUCGUAUGAGGUUGACCCACCUGUUUAAUAAAUCUUCAAUAUUGCUCUUUUUCUGCAAUGACAAAAGAAAUUAGAUGUCAUUUUAAUCUUUGAGCCGAAAAUAAUGAAUAAAUAAUAGUGAAAAGUCAUUUAAAGGUUAUAUUUGUGCAGUUUUGAAUAGUUAAAGGUUAUAUUUGUGCACUGUCAAAGUUUAAGGUCAAAGUUAUAAUUUGGUGUCAAGUUUAGGGUCAUAUUUAUGUAUUAUGCCCUUAGAUUUUAAGCUGGACGUGCCCAGUUUUGCGUGUUGAAUACGCAUUUUACCACGUAGGAUCGGAGGUCAUAUUUGUGCAGUUUUGAAUAGUUAAAGGUCAUAUUUGUGCACUGUCAAAGUUUAAGGUCAAAGUUAUAAUUUGGUGUCAAGUUUAGGGUUAUAUUAUGUAUUAUCUCAUCAGGGAUUGUAUCUCACCCUUAUAAAUAGGUAUCGUGCAUUUUUAUCAUUAAUUUAAUAUUGGUAAUUCUUCUUUUAUUUUCCAUCGUUAUCAUUGUCGUCGCCUUUUGAAACUCUUCUAAGUAGACAGUUGCCAAAAGUAAAAAAGAGUUACUGAUUUAAAAAAGAUAAUUAUUGUUUUGGAUAACUAAGAAACAUAAUUAAAAAAAAUAAAAAAUGGAGGUGAAUGUGAGAGAAAGCCUCAAAAAUCCUAUUGUUCUCCUUACACAAAGUUGUAUAAAUAUUUAUUUUGAUCUUCUAUGGGUAGUAUAGGUAGAAUAAGAACAUAGAGAGGCCAACUUAAAUAUCAUAGACUGCUCAGAUUUUCACAAUCUUGAAAAAUAUUAGUUUCAAAAAAAUUUCAUACUCUUAUAAUGUAAAAAUGUUUUCAGAUUUCAUUUGUGUUAUCAUAUGUUUUUAGUAACUCGGAAAAGGAAAGACUAAAGUUUGUAAUAAUGAGACGAGUAAAUAUAGUUGUAAGAGGCGAGCGGGUGAUAACUUAAUAGUGAUUGUUAAUUGAAAAAUGGAAUUUGAGAUUGUAUGUAUCCUUAAAAUUUGAAUUUUUUUUUGUCUUAGUUCAUUUUUCGGUUGUAUGACCACAUAGGAACAAACAUCCACAUAAUCAAUAGUCUCACUGGUUCAAUUUAGUUUUGAUUUCAUUUCUUUUGAGUCGAGAAUCUAUUAAAAACAGUCUAUGAUUGUGUAGUCAUAUGAGAUCAUUGCUUCCACAAGCAUUAAUAAUUUCACUGGUUCAAUUCUGCUUUGAUUUUAUUUCUUUUGAGCUGAAGAUCUAUCAAAAAUAGUCUCUUUACCUCACAGAGAUAGGCGCCUCACAAAAGAAAGGGUAAGCUCUGUACAUUCUACCCUCUACUUGCGGGAAAAAUGUCUUUUUACAUCAUAGAGAUAGGGGUUUCACAAAAGAAAUGAUAAGAUCUACGUAUAUUUUAUCCUCUACUUAUACGAUUACACUAGAUAUCUUAUUGUCGUUGUGUUAUUACUUUUAAAUUAUUUUAUUUUUCUUGCAUGGAGUAUAAUUUUACUUAUUAACACGACAUACACGUGCAAAGCACGUAUACUAAACUAGUAACAAAAAAUAGGUGAGGGAAAAAAAAUAGUAAUGCUAGUGAAGGUAGGUAUCCUAGUUUAUUUUUAUGUGAUCCUAGAUUUAAGAAGCAAAAUUUAUUAAUGGAGUACGCAGGUUUCUUAGAUUUUCUUAGUGGUCCUAUGAAGCGUGCAUUACGAAGACGGGCGGGCGGUUCAGUUUUUUCGUUUGGUUUUUCGGAAUUUUGAUCCUAUUUUUCGGUUUUCUUUUAUGAAAGGGAUAGCAAAAUUGAACCGAAUUAGUUAUCCAGUACGGUUCAGUUCAGUUUGAUUUUUUUUAUUAUGAAUCUACUGGUUGGAAUAUCACUGGAAAUUGGUUGGAAUCGUGCUGGACACAAAAAAAAAAAAAAAAAUUGAUUCAAAAUGGACUACUAUAUAACAGCAAACAGCCAUCAGGAGUCUAGAACAACACUUACACUGAAAAAAAAUUGAACACAAGUAGAAAAAAGAGAAAACUAGCUUAUACUGAUGUGACUAGAAGAGUGAUUCAAAACGUCAUUAAGAUUAUUAUUAUGAAGUGAUAAGUACUUCUAUGUUUUUAAUCAAAGAUUUUUGAUUUGAGCUUUGAGAAUUCACCUUUGGUAGAAAUUGUUUUACUCUCAUAGUAAGACUUUCCGACACAAACUCACAUUAGUCUAACUCAAAUACAAACACGAACCCCACAUAAAAAAAACAAAAGAACGACAUUAUUCAAAACAUGAUUAAAAGGACCACAUUGAGUGAUGUUUGAUUGGAUGGCUAAACUUGUCCUUAUUGCCUGUGUCAACUUUUAAGGUUCUAUAUUCGAACCUCAGGCCUCAGCCACUCAACGGUAUAGUACUCUCUCUAUGUUCCAAUUUAUUUUUUUAGUUCUAAUUUAGUAUUGACUAUAAAAAAAAAAGUUAAAUUUUGUGGUUUUAAAUUAAAAAUAUGUAGAAUAUAUCAAAAUAUUUUUAAAAUUAUGUAAUUUUAAACAUGUCACAUGAAAAAUAGAACUAGCUAUAAGUUACCCAAAGAAAAAAGAAUUCUCACGCAUAUAAAAUAAAUCAAAUUAUCCAGGAUAAUCCCUUAACAAAUGGAUCUAGCCAGCUUAGCUUGUUGGAUAAUAUGCACAUACCUUAAUUUAUUAAUACUGUUCAAGUAGAACUUUUAGUAGUGAUUUUUAUCCUUUGAAGCCAUACAAUACAUGCACUAAGAUAUUGUCCUUUCUUUAUCGAAACGAAGAUAUAUAGCAUAAUUUAUAGUAAUAUAUAUCCAGGUGAAUUACAGCCAAAUUUUAAACUAAAGUUACCCAAGUAUAUAUUUAGAGUACAUCUAUAGCGAGUGAUGCUGCUUUUUAUACCAAUAUAUAGCUAUCAAAGUUCUCCAUGAGAUUGAGAGUAAUAACAAAACAAAAUUAGUAUCUACGAAGCGGACUCACUAUUGUUGAGGCGUAAGCGUAUUCCCUUGAAAAUUUUCCUAUAUAUACAUCGUCAUCAUGAUACACCUCUUAUAACAAUCCACAAAAUGAGAGAGAUUAUAAUUAGCCUUUUAUCUCUGGCUUUGUUCCUCCUUAAGGUCUCAGCCAAGCUAUCUGAUGUUCCCUUUUAUUUACCAGCCAAUGAAACCCUUGGCCUUAAACUAAUAAGGGAACGUAAUACGUCAGACCUAGCCCAGUCAUUAUUAGCACAGAGUCGAUGCGGAUGGCCAGGUGGCGGUAGAUCGUGUCCUACUGGACAGUGUUGUGAUUUUGAUGGUUGGUGUGGAACCGGUGAUGCCUAUUGUGAUGAAGAUGAGUGUGAUUUCCAGUGUCCAGGUCCGAUCCCAGUGGGACGAUGCGGAAUGCAAGCAGGUGGUCGACCAUGUCCUACUGGACAGUGUUGUCGGGAUUCAGGUUGGUGUGGAACCACAGAAGAAUAUUGUAAUCCUCUACGCUGUCAAAGCCAAUGUUCAGGACCUUAUCCAUCGGGACGUUGUGGAUGGCAAGCUGGUGGGAGGAAAUGUCCUACUGGAUUAUGUUGUAGUCUCUCUGGUUGGUGUGGAACCACUUCAAUCUAUUGUUCUCGUGAAGAAUGUCAAAGUCAGUGAGAAAGGCCACCACCACCCCCGUCUCCACCACCCCCACCCCCACCAUUCCCACAGGGACGAUGCGGAAAGCAAGCUGCUGGUAGAGCAUGUCCUACUGGAGUGUGCUGUAGUAUAUGGGGCUGGUGUGGAACCACACGUAACUACUGUGUUUCUCCCUACUGUCAAAGUCAGUGCAAGGGCGGUCUAACCUCGUACAACAAGAAUCGCUUCAGAGGCAUUGAAAGCUUAUUGCUCAAUGCUCUCUAGAUGCUUGCUGCCUUCUGUAUUCCCUAGACCAUGUACUUCUACUCCUCUUUUGGGACUGGA